rnacentral:rRNA from 1 species
CGAAAGCCUGACGGAGCCAGACCGCGUGAGGGAAGAAAGUCUUUGGAUCGUAAACCUCUUUUCUCAAGGAAGAAUUAAUGACGGUACCUGAGGAAUCAGCCUCGGCUAACUCCGUGCCAGCAGCCGCGGUAAUACGGAGGAGGCAAGCGUUAUCCGGAAUUAUUGGGCGUAAAGCGUCCGCAGGUGGCGAUUCAAGUCUGCUGUCAAAGCACGGGGCUUAACUCCGUUAAGGCAGUGGAAACUGAAUGGCUAGAGUGCCGUAGGGGUAGAGGGAAUUCCCGGUGUAGCGGUGAAAUGCGUAGAGAUCGGGAAGAACAUCGGUGGCGAAAGCGCUCUACUGGACGGCAACUGACACUCAGGGACGAAAGCUAGGGGAGCG